rnacentral:rRNA from 1 species
AGAUUGAACGCUGGCGGCAUGCUUUACACAUGCAAGUCGAACGGCAGCACGGGGGCAACCCUGGUGGCGAGUGGCGAACGGGUGAGUAAUAUAUCGGAACGUACCCGGAAAUGGGGGAUAACGUAGCGAAAGUUACGCUAAUACCGCAUAUGCCCUGAGGGGGAAAGCGGGGGAUUCGUAAGAGCCUCGCGUUUUCGGAGCGGCCGAUAUCGGAUUAGCUAGUAGGUGAGGUAAGGCUCACCUAGGCGACGAUCCGUAGCUAGGUCUGAGAGGACGACCAGCCACACUGGACUGAGACACGGUCCAGACUCCUACGGGAGGCAGCGAGUGGGGAAUUUGGACAAGUGGGGGC